rnacentral:sRNA from 1 species
ACGGAGACCUCGCCGGCCCCGGGAACUGUCGCCCUUCCACGAUGUGGCUCCGUGCCUUUGUCCUGGCCACUCUCGCUGCUUCCACGGCUUGGGGUGCUCCCAAGAUGCUGUGGUGGGGCAGUUUCUCUCAGAGGUAUUUACAAACCGAAAGGAGAACAUUCCUCUCAAGAUGUCUGAAGACUGCCUUUACCUCAAUAUUUACACUCCUGCUGACUUGACCAAGAAAAACAGGCUGCCGGUGAUGGUGUGGAUCCAUGGAGGGGGGUUGAUGGUGGGUGCGGCAUCAACCUAUGAUGGGCUGGCCCUUGCUGCCCAUGAAAACGUAGUGGUGGUGACCAUUCAAUACCGCCUAGGCAUCUGGGGAUUCUUCAGCACAGGGGAUGAACACAGCCCGGGGAAUUGGGGUCACCUGGACCAGCUGGCUGCCCUGCGCUGGGUCCAAGACAACAUUGCCAGCUUUGGAGGGAACCCAGGCUCUGUGACCAUCUUUGGAGAGUCAGCGGGAGGAGAAAGUGUCUCUGUUCUUGUUUUGUCUCCAUUGGCCAAGAACCUCUUCCACCGGGCCAUUUCUGAGAGUGGCGUGGCCCUCACUUCUGUUCUGGUGAAGAAAGGUGAUGUCAAGCCCUUGGCUGAGGUAGGUCUCCAGCUGGUACGUCUCUGGCUGGACACCCCCACCCCCUUGGCUCUAUGCUCCUGAACCCUCAGGGGUCUCUCUUGUGGUCAGUUGUAGCUAAUCUUCUCCCAGAAUCACUGAGGCACCAAUGGCUGAGCAGGAAGGGCAAGGAGACAUCUUGAUAAGCGUCCCAGUUUCACAGCCCAGCAAACUGACGCAGGGCUUAGAAGGGGUUUGCCCAGGGCAGCAGGUGAUCAGGGCAGAGCUGGGACUCCAGCUUAUGGCCCUAGCAGCCAGUACAGUGCCCUGUCUGUGACCGCACUCCUCCUAUGUGCCAGGGCCUGGUGCCAUGUUGGACAGUGAUGGUGUCUUGUGUCUCUCAGGGUCUG